rnacentral:rRNA from 1 species
AUAAAUCUGAUGAGUUGUUGCUGGUUCUCUAGAGAACAUGUGCACACUUGUCAUCUUUAUAUCUCCACCUGUGCACAUUUUGUAGACCUGAAUAUCUCUCUGAUCAGGUUUUGAGGAUUGAUCUCUCCUUACAUUUUCAGGCCUAUGUUUCUUCAUAUACCCAAUGUAUGUUACAGAAUGUAAUAAUUAUGGGCCUUUGUGCCUAUAAAAUCCAUACAACUUUCAGCAACGGAUCUCUUGGCUCUCGCAUCGAUGAAGAACGCAGCGAAAUGCGAUAAGUAAUGUGAAUUGCAGAAUUCAGUGAAUCAUCGAAUCUUUGAACGCACCUUGCGCUCCUUGGUAUUCCGAGGAGCAUGCCUGUUUGAGUGUCAUUAAUAUAUCAACCUCAUUUUGUUUGAGUGUUGGAUUUGGGGGGUCAGCUCCCCUGAAAUUUAUUAGCAGAACAUCUUGAAGACCGUUUAUUGGUGUGAUAAUUAUCUACGCCAUUACUGUCAAGCAGUUCAGCUUCUAAUAGUCUAUUGACUUGGACAAUUUUCAUUAAUGUGACCUCAAAUCAGGUAGGACUACCCGCUGAACUUAAGCAUAUCAAUAAGCGGAGGAAAAGAAACUAACAAGGAUUCCCCUAGUAACUGCGAGUGAAGCGGGAAAAGCUCAAAUUUAAAAUCUGGCAGUCUUUGGCUGUCCGAGUUGUAAUCUAGAGAAGUGUUAUCCGUGCUGGACCGUGUACAAGUCUCCUGGAAUGGAGCGUCAUAGAGGGUGAGAAUCCCGUCUUUGACACGGACUACCAGGGCUUUGUGAUGCACUCUCAAAGAGUCGAGUUGUUUGGGAAUGCAGCUCAAAAUGGGUGGUAAAUUCCAUCUAAAGCUAAAUAUUGGCGAGAGACCGAUAGCGAACAAGUACCGUGAGGGAAAGAUGAAAAGAACUUUGGAAAGAGAGUUAAACAGUACGUGAAAUUGCUGAAAGGGAAACGCUUGAAGUCAGUCGCAUUGCCCAGGGAUCAACCUUUGCUUUUGCUUGGUGUACUUUCUGGUUUAAUGGGUCAGCAUCAAUUUUGACUAUUGGAAAAAGAUUAGGGGAAUGUGACAUCUUUGGAUGUGUUAUAGCCCUUAGUUGUAUACAAUAUGCAUCGAUGAAGAACGCAGCACGCCGCAAGGCUGGGUUUUUAACCACGUACGUGCUUAG